rnacentral:rRNA from 1 species
UUGGUCAUUUAGAGGAAGUAAAAGUCGUAACAAGGUCUCCGUAGGUGAACCUGCGGAGGGAUCAUUACUGAAUGGCCUUUUGGGCCUUCAACCUUCAAAAACAUGUGGAAGCAAGAUGUGCUUCGGUGCCUCUGGUGCCGCCUUUAUGCAGUGAAGCCUUAUUUGUCUGAACCAAAAUCAAAAAGUUAAAACUUUCAACAAAGGAUCUCUUGGCUCUCACAUCGAUGAAGAACGCAGCGAAGCGCGAAAUGUAGUGUGAAUCGCRGAACUUAGUGAAUCAUCGAAUCUUUGAACGCACAUUGCGCCUCCCAUCAUCGGGAGGCAUGCCUGUCUGAGCGUCAUUUAAACCAUAGCUCCCAUCUGGGACUGUACUGGGCAUCGCCGACGGCGUAGCCUCAAAGACAUUGGUCUAAUCAAGCGGACGAGUUCCUUUAGGACGGACCGUUGGGUUGACCUUAAACCUCUGACUUGACCUCAGAUCAGGUAGGGCUACCGCCUGAACUUAAGCAUAUCAAUAAGCGGAGGA